AGGAACAGUCCACGUAUCUCCGUGUUUCUGUGCUGUUUUCUGACAGCAAGAUCUGCAAAUCGAGUCAAGGCAAGGCAAAAGAACGGGACCAUUCAUCGUUUCCUUGCAAGAGGGGCAUGUUAUAAACUUGGAUGCUGUUAUACAUCCAAUAUUAUAGACGAGGAGAAAAAUGUGAAUAUGUCCUAUGAGACUAGAGACUAUGGCCUUUAGUGAACAACAAAUUUGUUUUAGAAAAACACGAACUGUUCAUGAGUUGUACCGUAGAUACGUUGCAAUAACUCAGACUUCUAAAAGCUUCCUUCAAGGUUUAUUUCACCCAUUGCUUACUCUUGACCAGAUUGUAUGAAGGUAUUAUUAGCAUCUAAGAGGUGGCAAAAAAAUAAGCUAUGUAAUGCAAGGCAAAUGUUUAAUCUAAGAGCUUGAAUCAAUUAUUAAUUUAUUUUAAAAUUGUUGAGUUCCAUAGCAAUUAAUAUCCAGGAAAAUAAUCCCCAAUUGAUGGUAUUUUAUUUGCUUUUGGUGGUAGAGGACUGUCAGUUGCCAUGGUCACUAUACCAAUUCUAGUUCCGUAAUCCUAAGGCUCUCUUGGAAUGUGCAUUGGUGGAUCCAAGGGAUGGGAGGGGGGGGGGACAUGCCCCACACCCCUUUCAUAACAUCCUGAUGUGUGUGAUGCUUACAACACUGUUCUUUUGUUCUUAUUGUUUUUAUCUGAGGAGAUGGCUGGUGCAGAACAAAGAUUUUUGCCCGUUAUUGCUCUACUAAAUACCAUUUGUACCUCUUGAGGUCAUUUGCACAAACUAUUUGUGAAUGAAUAACAUCACAAUAUUUAGAAAAAAAAUUAAUGCACUUAAUUUUCUGAAGAAACUGAUUUUUAUCACAUCUACAUUUGUUUUGCACCUUUUGAUCUGGUUUGCACAAACUAUUUUGUAAUUUAAAGUAGAAAAACAAAUGCACUGGGUAGGAAAAUGUGAUGUAGCUCUCUCUCUGCUCCAAUUAAUGAUUCCUAUGUGGUUAUGAUACAUGCCCAUAGACUCUCAGCGAAAUGGUUAUUAAGUACUGCAUUUCCCUUACUUUACUUACUUUACAGUGGCAUUUGACACAUAUUUUAGUCCACAGAAGAUAAAUUGCAGUCCCAACCCCACCCCCCCCCCCCCCCAAAAAAAAAAAAAGAAUAAAAUAAAUAACAAAUCAGCUAUGUGUGCUUUUGUGGACAUCAACUUCAAAAUUCCUAUAUUUAAGAAAAAAGAAGAAAAUGCUAAAUAGAGUUGCUGUUUGUGAUUUGUGGUAGCUAGUUCAAUAAAUACUGUGAACACACUACACCAAGUUAACUAAUCAUUGUGCUGGUUAUGAUUUUAAACUUCGAAAUAUAAGAUUAACAGCAAUGAUUACAAAUUUGUUUACAAUUUCCAUUUCCCAUUCAUGAUAGAUCAAUGUUAAGGGAUUUUGGUUUUUGAUAAGAAUAAAUAGGUUUAAAUUUUCUCAUUAUAAUUAUCAGAACCAAAGUAUGGCAGGUAGGUACACUAUUGUACCUACAACACACUCUUUGAUUUUAUACAUAAAAAUGUGUAAUCUAUACAAAUAAAGCAGGGAUGUUCUUAUUUAUGGAGUGUUUUUAACUAAAUUGUUAUUAAAGAUGUUCUUAGUUUUGCUUUUACAAAUUGCUAUGAUGGUUCUUGAAAUAAUGUAAACAACAGAAAGUGUACUGUAAGCUUAUAUAAAAACAUAAGUAAAUAAUACCAAUGAAGUAUUAAUAAGAGUUACACAGAUGAAUCACAAUGAAAUUAUACAUCUAAAUAUCUAAGUAAGCGAAAAGUCUGCAAAUGCAGUAAAUUAUUUCAACUGUCAAAAACUAUCCUGUUUACCCAUUGAUCCAGAAACUUGAAAACAAAGUAAAUGAAAACUUAACCAGCCAUUUGCAUCUACUAAAGCCAAAAGAACAAUAUCUCAAGUAAGCCUUUAUCUUCUGCGUGUCUCGGCGAUAAAAUAGUCAUUUAAACCUACAUGCUUUUCCAAAGAUGUUUACAAACGAUCUCGAUCGCCCAACAGGAAUGUCCAGUUGCACGUAGUUCACAGGAAAACAAAGGAAACGGUAUCUUGCAAAUCCGAAACUUUGGUACAUAUGGGUGAGGAACAUAAAAUGCCUAUUUCCUUUAUGGCUCUGUCAUCACUUGGACCCAUUUUCUCCUGAUA